rnacentral:rRNA from 1 species
UACAGAGGUGGCAAGCGUUGUUCGGAAUUACUGGGCGUAAAGGGCGCGUAGGCGGCCAUCUAAGUCAGACGUGAAAUCCCCCGGCUUAACCUGGGAACUGCGUCUGAUACUGGACGGCUUGAGUAUGGGAGAGGGAUGUAGAAUUCCAGGUGUAGCGGUGAAAUGCGUAGAUAUCUGGAGGAAUACCGGUGGCGAAGGUGGCAUCCUGGACCAUUACUGACGCUGAUGCGCGAAAGCUAGGGGAGCGAACAGG